AACUGGAAAUGAGGCAGUCCAGCUGGAUUCCAGCUGUACCCAGCUGGAACCCAGCUGGGUCCAGCUGGAAUCCAGCUGGACCACCUCAUUUCCAGUUC
rnacentral:pre_miRNA from 1 species